rnacentral:rRNA from 1 species
UCAGGCCUAACACAUGCAAGUCGAACGAAGUAGCAAUACUUAGUGGCAGACGGGUGAGUAACAUGUAGGUAUCUGCCCUUUGGCCUGGAAUAACACGAGGAAACUUGUGCUAAUACCGGAUAAGUCUUUACGGAGAAAGCUUUAUGCACCAUUGGAUGAGCCUGCACUUGAUUAGUUUGUUGGUGGGGUAAUGGCCUACCAAGACUGUGAUCAAUAGCUGAUUUGAGAGGAUGAUCAGCCACAUUGGGACUGAGACACGGCCCAAACUCCUACGGGAGGCAGCAGUGGGGAAUCUUGCACAAUGGAGGAAACUCUGAUGCAGCGAUGCCGCGUGAGUGAAGAAGGCCCUUGGGUUGUAAAGCUCUUUCGUCGGGGAAGAAAAUGACUGUACCCGAAUAAGAAGGUCCGGCUAACUUCGUGCCAGCAGCCGCGGUAAUACGAAGGGACCUAGCGUAGUUCGGAAUUACUGGGCUUAAAGAGUUCGUAGGUGGUUGAAAAAGUUGGUGGUGAAAUCCCAGAGCUUAACUCUGGAACUGCCAUCAAAACUUUUCAGCUAGAGUAUGAUAGAGGAAAGCAGAAUUUCUAGUGUAGAGGUGAAAUUCGUAGAUAUUAGAAAGAAUACCAAUUGCGAAGGCAGCUUUCUGGAUCAUUACUGACACUGAGGAACGAAAGCAUGGGUAGCGAAGAGGAUUAGAUACCC